rnacentral:rRNA from 1 species
AAUGAACGCUGGCGGCAUGCCUUACACAUGCAAGUCGAACGGCAGCAUGACCUAGCUUGCUAGGUUGAUGGCGAGUGGCGAACGGGUGAGUAAUGCAUCGGAACGUGCCUUUUAGUGGGGGAUAACGUAGCGAAAGUUACGCUAAUACCGCAUAUUCUCUGAGGAGGAAAGCAGGGGACCUUCGGGCCUUGCGCUAGAAGAGCGGCCGAUGUCGGAUUAGCUAGUUGGUGAGGUAAAGGCUCACCAAGGCAACGAUCCGUAGCGGGUCUGAGAGGAUGAUCCGCCACAGUGGGACUGAGACAAGGCCAAGCUCCCUACGGGAGGCGGGAGGGGGGAAUUUUGGAGAAGGGGCGCAAGCCUGACCCAGCCGUGCCGCGUGAGAGAAGAAGGCCUUGGGGUUGAAAGGCUCUUUCGGGGGGGAAGAAACCGCACCCCCAAAUACGGGGUGGGGAUGACGGAACAAGAAAAAGAAGCACGGGCAACCUACGUC